UGUCACGUACGCGUGUCUCUCCCACGACCCAACUCUAACCAUCUCUGACCAAUAACUAUCUAAAAGGGAUAAAACUCUCGCGUAUAUCUCUCCAGAGAGCCAAAUCUCUCAAAUUGUUAUGGUAGAGGUUUAAAUCUAACCUAGCAGCCUCCGUUUCCUUCCAUGGUUUCUACUGUCCAAGACCUCCGAUCGAUGGCAGUUGAUCGUUCUUCCCUCCUCCGGCUAGAGCACGACCAAGGAAUGACGCCUUCCAGUUUGAAGCCUACAUCGCUGGCUCUCCAUUUGAUCCACCCAUCACAAGGUACGGUACUCCAUCGACUAUCCCUCAACUGUUCUUUCAACAGCACUAGCGGCCCCAGUUUGAUUGGAUGAAACCGUAUAAUUCUGGGUUGUUUCCAUGGCACUACAUGUACAGGUAUUGCUUAUUUGUGUGAUUUGGAGCCAUGGAGACAACAAUCCAUGAUAGCUCAUGGCUUCAUAUGCAAUUUCGUUCAAAUCUUUAGUCCCUGGCGAGUUUGACCAAGAUCUGAUGGAUUAGUUACUCUCUCUCUUAUCACACGUGCUGAUUUCUCUAUGCUGAGUUUGACCAAGAUCUGAUGGAUUAGUUACUCUCUCUCUUUUAUCACACGUGCUGAUUUAUCUAUGCUGAUUUGUCACAUGCAUAUUUACUUGAACCAUUCUUACUAUUACAGUGGCACAACUAAUCACGUAUAGUUAUCUACCGAUGCAUAUUGGCUCAUCCGAAAGAAAAUUGUUCAUCCACCAGACUGGGUUUAUUGCGAGUCCAAUACUGGCGGUGCCGAGUCCAAUACCGACUGCUCUGUUGCUUCUCAUCGCUGGCAUGUGUAUGGCGCCAUGCCAGUAUGCAACAACAAUCCUGGUGCCCGUAUGAAUAACUCUUGAUGUAGGUAUAUGUUGAAUCUCCAGUCUGCACACGAUCUUUCUUGAUUAGGCAUAGCAUGCGUGCAUUGGAGAAAUAUUAAUAUAAUGUAAUAAAAGAAACAUGUGUGUAUAUACUGUUUGCAUCCGAGUUGAGGUGUUUUGCUCAUGUUUUAUUUUGCACAGUGGUCAUCGACCGGUUAUAGGUUGCUCCAGGCCUCGAAGGCCCGGCGGUACUGCUCCUCCACAUGGAGAGCUGAUGGUGCUGCUGCUCCUCGGCACCUUUGAGCGGUCUGUUAAUAGGAGGCGUGAGGCAAGCUGCAAGACUUCACGGCACCUUUGAGUGGUCUGCUAAUAGAAGGCAUGAGGCGAGCUGCAAGAUUUCAGGCACAUAAACAGCGCAAUGGCAAGAGCUAUAUAAUAUCACAUUGAUAUUCUGGACCCCGCAGGAGAAUAUAUAUUUAAGUGGUGUACAUGUACUAUGUAUAACUAGAAGAAGAUUACUAUAUUUGUGACUACACUAGAAAUUUAUAGUUGUUGCAGCACGUGGUUAGUUUACAAUAUCACGGUGGUGGUCAUCGACCAGUUAUAGGGUGCUCCAGUGCUCGAAGGCCCGGCGGUACUGCUCCUCGACAGGGAGAGCUGGUGGUGUUGCUGCUCCUCGGCACCUUGGAGCGGUCUGCUAAUAUGAGGCGUGAGGCGAGCUGCAAGACUUCAAGCACACAAACAGCACAAAAGCAAGAGCUAUACAAUAUCACAUUGAUACGUAUGUAUUCUCCUUUUUGUAGGACCAUAAAUUUCUUCUAAUCGCUCAAUCUCUAGAUAUUUAUACACUUGAUUCAUAUUUUUCUUUUUUCAGAUAUUCUGCACCCCGCAGGAGACAUUAUAUAUUUAAGUGGUGUAUACAUCUACUAUAUAUACCUACAAGAUUACCUAUGUUUGCGACUCUACAAGUACUGGAAAAAAAAUUGAACUAGAAAUUUAUAGAUCCUGCAUCACGUGGUUAGGUUUUUGUUUUCUACUUGCCAACAAUACUUGAUGAAUUAGGAUAUUGGCUAUUUACAAGGAACGGUCAGCCAGAUCAGUUAGCUUUAUCAUAUUAUAUACUUGGAACUGAUUUUUUUUUUUCAGAUUCUAUUCCUAAAUGGUUCAUGGCUACACGUCCCGUUUUCAGGAUUAUUCUGUCCAUGCCUUGGCUUUCACCUAGAUGGACAAGAGUCUGUUCUUUAGUGAGACGCCCAGCUGCAAGUUGUUGUUUGACCAGUUGUGAGGUGUCUCAGAGGCACCAAAUGGAUGUUCAUAAUGUUCAUCUAUCUACAUAUCAUGUGGUACACGGCCCAGAAAGAAGCAGUACGAUGGUUGGUCCAAAACUAAGCUCAUUCUUAGCAUGGGAUCACUGCCGAGAUUUCUUUCUCUUGACAAGCAGCAUCAUUGCUUACACCAGGAGUUCUUUAGCGGCGGCAAAGAGUCGAGGUGCAGCAAUACUGAUGCAUCAUGCAAUGCCAAGUGAACAAAUGGUGUCUCUCGGGAAAUUACGGGGACGGAUACGAGCACUAUGUACC